GGGUCAGGUUGGGUGUCGGUCAAGUUGUGUGCGUCAGGUUGCGUGUGGGUCAGUGUGAAUCAUGUUGGGGUUAGGUUGGGGGUCAGUGUGGGUCAGGUUGAGGGUUAGGUUGGGGGUCAGUGCAGAUCAGGUUGGGGGUUGGUGUGGGUGAGGAUGGGGGUUAGUGCGGCUCAGGUUAGGGUCAGUGCAGGUCAUGUUGGGGGUUAGUGUGGGUCAGGUUGGAGGUCAGUGCAGGUCAGGUUAGGGGUCAGCUUGGUGGUUAGUGUGGGUCAGCUUGGGCGUCAGUGCAGGUCAGGUUAGGGGUCAGCUUGGGGGUUAGUUUGGGUCAGGUUGGGGGUCAGUGUGGGUGAGGAUGGGGGUCAGUGCAGGUCAGGUUGGGGGUCAGUGCAGGUCAGGUUGGGGGUCAGUGCAGGUCAGCUUGGGCAUUAGUAUGGGUCAGGUUGGGGGUCAGUGUGGGUCAGGUUGGGGAUCAGUGUGGGUCAGGUUGGUGGUCAGUGCAGGUCAGCUUGGGGGUUAGUGUGGGUCAGUUUGGGGGUCAGUGCAGGUCAGGUUGGGGAUCAGUGUGGGUCAGGUUGGGGGUCAGUGUGGGUGAGGAUGGGGGUCAGUGUGGGUCAGGUUGGGAGUCAGGUUGAAGGUCAUCUUGGGGGUUAUUUUGGGUCAGGUUGGGGGUCAGUGCAGGUCAGGUUGGGGAUCAGUGUGGGUCAGGUUGGGAGUCAGGUUGGGAGUGAGUGGGGGUCAGGUUUGUUUUGAGUGUGGGUCAGGUUGGGUGGGUCAGGUUGGGUGUCGGUCAAGUUGUGUGCGUCAGGUUGCGUGUGGGUCAGUGUGAAUCAUGUUGGGGUUAGGUUGGGGGUCAGUGUGGGUCAGGUUGAGGGUUAGGUUGGGGGUCAGUGCACGUCAGGUUGGGGGUCGGUGUGGGUGAGGAUGGGGGUUAGUGCGGGUCAGGUUAGGGUCAGAGCAGGUCAUGUUGGGGGUCAGCUUGGGGGUUAGUGUGGGUCAGCUUGGGCGUCAGUACAGGUCAGGUUAGGGGUCAGCAUGGGGGUUAGUUUGGGUCAGGUUGGGGGUCAGUGUGGGUCAGGUUGGGGAUCAGUGUGGGUCAGGUUGGUGGUCAGUGCAGGUCAGCUUGGGGGUUAGUGUGGGUCAGGUUGGGGGUCAGUGUGGGUCAGGUUGGGGAUCAGUGUGGGUCAGGUUGGUGGUCAGUGCAGGUCAGCUUGGGGGUUAGUGUGGGUCAGGUUGGGGGUCAGUGCAGGUCAGGUUGGAGGUCAGUGCAGGUCAGGUUGGGGGUCAGGUAGAAGGUCAUCUUGGGGGUUAUUUUGGGUCAGGUUGGGGGUCAGUGUGGGUGAGGAUGGGGGUCAGUCGGGGUCAGGUUGGGGUUCAGUGCAGGUCAGGUUGGAUGUCAGCUUGGGGGUUAAUUUGGGUCAGGUUGGGGGUCAGUGUGGGUCAGGUUGGGGAUCAGUGUGGGUCAGGUUGGGUGGUCAGUGUGGGUGAGGAUGGGGGUUAGUGUGGGUCAGGUUAGGGUCAGUGCAGGUCAUGUUGGGGGUCAGGUUGGAGGUCGGUGCAGGCCAGGUUGGAGGUCAGCUUGGGGGUUAAUUUGGGUCAGUGUGGGUCAGGUUGGGGGUCAGGUUGGGGGUCAG
ensembl:lncRNA